rnacentral:RNase_P_RNA from 1 species
CGUGCAAGUCGUCUUGUCGCCGCGACACCGAUAUCGGGGUUGGGGAGGAAAGUCCGGGCAACACAGAGCGCCAUACUUCCUAACGGGAAGGAGGCUGACUGGUGACGGUCAGUUUACAGAAAGUGCCACAGAAAAUAUACCGUCCCGAUAGCUAUCGGGAUAAGGGUGAAAAGGUGGAGUAAGAGCCCACCGGUCAGAUGGUGACAUCCGACGCAUGGCAAACCUUAUGGGUUGAAAGGUCAAAUAGGCCCCGGGCAAAGAGCUGCUCGUUCGAUUUUGUCCCUUUUCCGAUUCGUCGGCAUUGGGUCAGAUUCCGGGGUGGGUAGACCGAUAGAUCCCGAUCGUGAGGUCGGGACUAGAUAAAUGACAGGAUUCCGUAAAGGAAACAGAACCCGGCUUACAGACUUGCACUUUUU